CAGUCGCCGCGGGAAUACGGAGGGCGCGAGCGUUACCCGGAUUUACUGGGCGUAAAGGGCGUGUAGGCGGCCUGGGGCGUCCCAUGUGAAAGGCCACGGCUCAACCGUGGAGGAGCGUGGGAUACGCUCAGGCUAGAGGGUGGGAGAGGGUGGUGGAAUUCCCGGAGUAGCGGUGAAAUGCGCAGAUACCGGGAGGAACGCCGAUGGCGGAGGCAGCCACCUGGUCCACUUCUGACGCUGAGGCGCGAAAGCGUGGGGAGCAAACCGGAUUAGAUACCCGCGUAGUCCCUGUCUCUUAUAC
rnacentral:rRNA from 1 species